UUGAAUUAUCCUUCCAUCAACAUGGAGAAGGGCUUUGUCCAGCCCGUGUUAACAUAUAAUAGUCGUAUCUUUUAUGCCUGGCAGAACUUUGGGGAAGAUAGUGAGCCAAACCAUCUUGAUGAGAGCGAGAUGACCCCAAGGUCUUGUCUUGAUGAAGACAGUGAGUUGAAGCUACUCACCAGCAGCUAUGAGACAACCUCUGUACAGUCACCGCCUCAAUUAGUUCAACUUCUUCUGUCUCAACUUAAAGCGGAAAGGCUUGCUUUAACUCAACUCUGACUUGAAGUCAAACAUGCAAUGAAGAUCUUGGGGGACUACAUUGCGUAAUAUGGUGCUAUAGAGCUAGGGAUGGAGCAUCUAAGGUUGACACAACUAAGGUCUCAUCAUCUUGUUAGGCUGCUUGCGGAGCCCAUCCUAACCAGGCCUAGUGCCUUCUGAAGUGCUCUCAGUUUUGUAUAUUCUUUUGUCGGCGCGUUUAUAUGUACUGGUGGCAACCUUUGAUGCCCAGUGUAUGUAAUUCGUGGUCACGUUGCACUUUAUUAUCAUCGAUAGCAAACUUUGAUUCCCA